rnacentral:rRNA from 1 species
CACGUAGGGUGCGAGCGUUGUCCGGAAUUAUUGGGCGUAAAGAGCUCGUAGGCGGUGUGUCGCGUCGGCCGUGAAAACCUGCAGCUUAACUGUGGGCUUGCGGUCGAUACGGGCAUCACUGGAGUUCGGCAGGGGAGACUGGAAUACUUGGUGUAGCAGUGAAAUGCGUAGAUAUCAAGUGGAACACCAGUGGCGAAGGCGAGUCUCUGGACAUUUCCUGACGCUGAGGCACGAAAGCCAGGGGAGCAAACGGG